rnacentral:rRNA from 1 species
CGGACGGGUGAGUAAUGUCUGGGAAACUGCCUGAUGGAGGGGGAUAACUACUGGAAACGGUAGCUAAUACCGCAUAACGUCGCAAGACCAAAGGGGGGACCUUCGGGCCUCUUGCCAUCGGAUGUGCCCAGAUGGGAUUAGCUAGUAGGUGGGGUAACGGCUCACCUAGGCGACGAUCCCUAGCUGGUCUGAGAGGAUGACCAGCCACACUGGAACUGAGACACGGCCCAG